UUGGUUAUGCUAAAAAGAGCGUAUGGUGGAUGCCUUGGCACUAAGAGCCGAUGAAAGACGUGAUAAGCUGCGAAAAGCUUCGGGGAGGAGCAAAUAUCCAUUGAUCCGGAGAUCUCUGAAUGGGGAAACCUACUUGAGAAGACCUCAAGUAUCCUAACGCCAAUACAUAACGUUAGGAGGGGAACCCGGUGAACUGAAACAUCUAAGUAGCCGGAGGAAGAGAAAACAACAUG
rnacentral:rRNA from 1 species